rnacentral:ncRNA from 1 species
UACCUGGUUGAUCCUGCCAGUAGUCAUAUGCUUGUCUCAAAGAUUAAGCCAUGCAAGUCUAAGUACGAGCUCUCGUACAGUGAAACUGCGAAUGGCUCAUUAAAUCAGUUAUGGUUCAUUUGAUCGUACAGUUUACUUGGAUAACUGUGGUAAUUCUAGAGCUAAUACAUGCGAGAAGCGCCGACCUCGCGGGAGGCGUGCAUUUAUCAGACCAAAAACCGGCCGCGUCUUCGGGCGCGUUCGCCUUGGUGACUCUGGAUAACUUUGCGGAUCGCACGGUCUAGCACCGGCGACGGAUCAUUCAAGUGUCUGCCCUAUCAACUUUCGUCGGUACGGUAUUUGCCUACCGAGGUUCUUACGGGUGACGGGGAAUCAGGGUUCGAUUCCGGAGAGGGAGCCUGAGAAACGGCUACCACAUCCAAGGAAGGCAGCAGGCGCGCAAAUUACCCAUUCCCGACGCGGGGGAGGGUAGUGACGAAAAAUAACAAUGCAGGACUCGUUCGAGGCCCUGUAAUUGGAAUGAGUACACUUUAAAAGCUUUAACGAGU